AUGAAUUGUCAAGGGGGGGUUGUUGCUGGCCUCUCAUCUGAUAAGCAUGUGCACGCCCCCUUUUUACAUCCGUCCACACCUGUGCACCCUCUGUAGUUCCAAAGUGGGAGAGCCCGUAAGGCUUUCACAAUCUGGCACUAUGUCUCUUUACAAACGCUUUAUGUAUAGAGUGUCGGCUCAGCGUAUAACAAACGCAGAAAUAUAAAA
rnacentral:misc_RNA from 1 species